CCUACGGGUGGCAGCAGUGGGGGAUAUUGCACAAUGGGGGGAACCCUGAUGCAGCGACGCCGCGUGGGUGAAGGAGCGUUUCGGCGCGUAAAGCCCUAUCGGCAGGGAAGAAGGAGGACGGUACCUGACUAAGAAGCCCCGGCUAACUACGUGCCAGCAGCCGCGGUAAUACGUAGGGGGCAAGCGUUAUCCGGAUUUACUGGGUGUAAAGGGGGCGCAGACGGCAGCGCAAGCCAGGAGUGAAAGCCCGGGGCCCAACCCCGGGACUGCUCUUGGAACUGCGCGGCUGGAGUGCAGGAGGGGCAGGCGGAAUUCCUGGUGUAGCGGUGAAAUGCGUAGAUAUAUGGAGGAACACCAGUGGCGAAGGCGACGAUCUGGCCUGCAACUGACGCUCAGUCCCGAAAGCGUGGGGAGCAAAUAGGAUUAGAUACCCCUGUAGUC
rnacentral:rRNA from 1 species